GAGGGCAUAGCUCAAGUGGUAGAGCGCAUGCUUAGCAUGCACGAGGUCCUGGGUUCAAUCCCCAGUACCUCCU
rnacentral:tRNA from 1 species